CAAAAUCUGGGUAACGUGUGCGCGUUACUAAAUGCAUGAAAACGGUAUUUGGGAAAACAAGUAGAACUGACAAUUUCCAAACAUCGAUUUUAUUUAUGUAAGUGAAAUGAGCUCAAUGGACAUACAUGUGAAUCCGUUUUCAACCUAAUUUAGAUAGAAACCACAGCAACAACUAGAUAUUUGAAUGGAACACGUAAGGACAAAAAAGUGGAUGAUGCCUUUGGACGUCAAUUUGUACAGAAACAGAUUUUAACUGAAACUAAACAUUUUAUAUUUAGCAUUCUUGAAAUUACAUGAUUGGACUUCAUUGGACAAUUUAAGAUAAUUGCAGUGUAAUUUUUACUUUUACAUGACAGAUUUGCACAGGAGCAAGAUUACAGACAACCUCUGUAAUCUUACAAAUCGUAGAGGUCACCAGGAAUUACUGGUGACGUGCAAAUAGGGCUUUAGAUUGUUGAUCACGGUUUGGGUUCUCAGUUAUCCCGGGGAGGGAAGUUGAUGCACGGACUUUUUAAAUAUAUGGACAUAGUCUUCGACGUCAACAAUAACAUUCUGGAGACAGUAAGCAGAGAGCAACCUGAGAAGGAACCAACAAAACAAGUUUUUUAAAUAAAAUCUAAAUGGGUUGGAUAUGUAAAAGGAAAUAUAUACAGUUGUUGUUGAUGGGGAAACUAGCUACAGAAACCAACACAGGUUGUAAACACAGUUAUUUCUGCAGAAAAUUUCAUUUCAUAGCAUCUUUGUCCUGAAAAAACAUAUUGAAUUGGAGGCCGUCCUAUGGUUACUCAUUCUGACUAAUCAUGAUGACGCUUCACAUACUUUUACACCAUUAUUAAAACUACCUGCAUCCAUUGCGUCUCCAGUACAUCAUCAGAAACUAAAUCCACCACAAUCAAAACCAUCAAAAUCAGAGUCUGCCACUUCAAAGUCAAAGCUGUUACAGUGAGCGGAGUCGAGUGCGGGCCCUGCGCCGUUGUACACUCCUGUUGCUCCCAUGCCAGGGAAAUCCGUGUUGAGUGGCAGGUCAGGAGCUUUGGCUUCCAGAUUAGGGAGCGAGCAUGCGCCCAGGUAACCCAGAGCAGAGGAGGCAGCGGCACCGCCCAUCAGCAGAUAAACCGCCUUCACUGCGUCGGCAUUACCGAUGGUGCCGUGGCGCAGACACCCUGCUGGGUGUGCACCACCUUUGUAUUGCUUCGUGAGGGGAGAAUUCCGGCCUGAAAAACAGGUUACUUAACAUUUUACCCUGAUCACUUAUGAAAAAAACCGCCUACCCGCCUAACCCACCUUUCUCCCUGAGGGAAGCACAAGCCGUCGGCCCCGGGGAGUCUGCUUCUGCGUUGCAGAGCGGUGGAGUCGGUGGGUCCUUGUCCAGGAUUUGCUCAGGCACCAGAUCUUGGAGUUUAAUGUGUGGGGGUAGCAGCCGAUGUCGUUUACAUGGACUGAUAGGUGACGAGAGGCUCUACGGGGGAUGAAAUAGCGUGACUGAAGAGGACGUCGAAUAGAAUUAGGGGCGGUCAGAUGGUUGGUGGAUCCAGGGGGAUGUUGGAUGUGGGGCUGGACCAAGCAGACGAUGUGUAGACGAUAGCAUCAUCAUAAAAUAAUCCACUGAGAAGUGCAGAAGAAGAGAGCCAGUCAUUUUGGACCACAAAAUGUCACCACGGCGGCGUAGAUGAUUGCUGGGUGAAGAAGAGGAUCCACUCAC
ensembl:lncRNA